GACGAACGCUGGCGGCGUGCUUAACACAUGCAAGUCGAACGGAAAGGCCCUGCUUUUGUGGGGUGCUCGAGUGGCGAACGGGUGAGUAACACGUGAGUAACCUGCCCUUGACUUUGGGAUAACUUCAGGAAACUAGGGCUAAUACCGGAUAGGAACUCCUGCUGCAUGGUGGGGGUUGGAAAGUUUCGGCGGUUGGGGAUGGACUCGCGGCGCAUCUGCUUGUUGGUGGGGUAGUGGCUUACCAAGGCGUUGACGGGUAGCCGGCCGGAGAGGGUGAUCGGCCACACUGGGCGUGAGACACGGCCCAGACGCCUACGGGAGGCAGCAGUAGGGAAUCUGCGGCAAUGGGCGAAAGCCUGACGGAGCAACGCCGCGUGAGUGAAGAAGGAUUUCGGUUCGUAAAGCUCUGUUGUUAGGGAAGAAUGAGUGGGUAGUAACUAUACACAGUAGAGACGGUACCUAACCAGAAAGCCACGGCUAACUACGUG
rnacentral:rRNA from 1 species